rnacentral:rRNA from 1 species
UCGAGGAUCUUCGGCAAUGAGCGCAAGCUUGACCGAGUGACGCCGCGUGGAUGAUGAAGGCCUUCGGGUUGUAAAAUCCUGUCGAGGGGGAUCAAGGGCAACUUGAGUGAUCCCUGGAGGAAGCACGGGCUAAGUUCGUGCCAGCAGCCGCGGUAAGACGAACCGUGCAAACGUUAUUCGGAAUCACUGGGCAUAAAGGGCGCGUAGGCGGCUUCCUAAGUCAGGGGUGAAAUCCGGCAGCUCAACUGUCGCAGUGCCUUUGAUACUGGGAAGCUCGAGGGAUGUAGGGGUCUGUGGAACUUCCGGUGGAGCGGUGAAAUGCGUUGAUAUCGGAAGGAACGCCGGUGGCGAAAGCGACGGACUGGACAUCUUCUGACGCUGAGGCGCGAAAGCCAGGGGAGCAAACGG